rnacentral:lncRNA from 10 species
UUUGGGGUGGGUAGGUGGGAGCUAAUAACGUAAAGCAUCAUUCAAGUACUAGUAAAAUAAUUCAAACACAGAUGAGAGGAGAGAGACAGGUAUGGGCUGGGCCAGUCAGCUCAUGCAGGAAGGAUUUGAGCCGAGGGUUGUAAAAUUCAAUGAUAGGAAAAGGACUGGGGAAGGAAUUCCGGGUAGGAGACACACUGCAUGAGUGAAGGCAUGAAAAGAUGAGUCUGUACACAGUUAACUGUUGGAAGACUGGGAGAUUUAUUCUGUCCAGCAAG